rnacentral:misc_RNA from 1 species
GAUGAAGAACGUAGUGAAAUGCGAUAAGUAAUGUGAAUUGCAGAAUUCAGUGAAUCAUCGAAUCUUUGAACGCACCUUGCGCCCUUUGGCCAUUCCGAAGGGCAUGCCUGUUUGAGUAUCAUGAACACCUCAACUCUCAUGGCUCGCCAUGAUGAGCUUGGAUUUGGGGGUCUUGCUGGCCUGUGGUCGGCUCCUCUCAAAUGGAUCAGCUUGCCAGUAUUUGGUGGCAUCACAGGUGUGAUAACUAUCUGCGCUUGUGGUUUUCCAUCAGAUAACCUUCAGUGAUGGAGGUUCGCUGGAGCUCAUAAACGUCUCCCCUAAGCGGGGACAGCCCUUUGAAUGUUUGAUCUCAAAUCAGGUAGGACUACCCGCUGAACUUAAGCAUAUCAAUAAGCGGAGGA